AACGCGAAGAACCUUACCUACCCUUGACAUCCAGAGAAUCCUGCAGAGAUGUGGGAGUGCCGCAAGGAACUCUGAGACAGGUGCUGCAUGGCUGUCGUCAGCUCGUGUUGUGAGAUGUUGGGUUAAGUCCCGUAACGAGCGCAACCCUUAUCCUUAGUUGCCAACAUGUAAAGGUGGGGACUCUAAGGAGACUGCCGGUGAUGAACCGGAGGAAGGCGGGGACGACGUCAAGUCAUCAUGGCCUUUAUGGGUAGGGCUACACACGUGCUACAAUGGCCGGUACAGAGGGUAGCGAAAGCGCGAGCUGAAGCCAAUCCCGAAAAGCCGGUCGUAGUCCGGAUCGGAGUCUGCAACUCGACUCCGUGAAGUCGGAAUCGCUAGUAAUCGCGAAUCAGAAUGUCGCGGUGAAUACGUUCCCGGGCCUUGUACACACCGAGACGAC
rnacentral:rRNA from 1 species